rnacentral:rRNA from 1 species
GAGUUUGAUCCUGGCUCAGGACGAACGCUGGCGGCGUGCUUAACACAUGCAAGUCGAACGGAAAGGCCCCGCUCGCGGGGUACUCGAGUGGCGAACGGGUGAGUAACACGUGGGUGAUCUGCCCUGCACUUCGGGAUAAGCCUGGGAAACUGGGUCUAAUACCGGAUAUGACCUCCCUUUAGUGUGGGGGGUGGAAAGAUUUAUCGGUGCAGGAUGAGCCCGCGGCCUAUCAGCUUGUUGGUGGGGUAAUGGCCUACCAAGGCGUCGACGGGUAGCCGGCCUGAGAGGGUGGACGGCCACAUUGGGACUGAGAUACGGCCCAGACUCCUACGGGAGGCAGCAGUGGGGAAUAUUGCACAAUGGGCGGAAGCCUGAUGCAGCGACGCCGCGUGGGGGAUGACGGCCUUCGGGUUGUAAACCUCUUUCGACAGGGACGAAGUGAAAAUGACGGUACCUGUAUAAGAAGCACCGGCUAACUACGUGCCAGCAGCCGCGGUAAUACGUAGGGUGCGAGCGUUGUCCGGAAUUACUGGGCGUAAAGAGCUCGUAGGUGGUUUGUCACGUCGUCUGUGAAAUUCCGGGGCUUAACCUCGGGCGUGCAGGCGAUACGGGCAAUACUUGAGUGCUGUAGGGGAGACUGGAAUUCUUGUGUAGCGGUGAAAUGCGCAGAUAUCAGGAGGAACACCAAUGGCGAAGGCAGGUCUCUGGGCAGUUACUGACGCUGAGGAGCGAAAGCAUGGGUAGCGAACAGGAUUAGAUACCCUGGUAGUCCAUGCCGUAAACGGUGGGCGCUAGGUGUAGGGGACUUCCACGUUCUCUGUGCCGUAGCUAACGCAUUAAGCGCCCCGCCUGGGGAGUACGGCCGCAAGGCUAAAACUCAAAGGAAUUGACGGGGGCCCGCACAAGCGGCGGAGCAUGUGGAUUAAUUUGAUGCAACGCGAAGAACCUUACCUGGGCUUGACAUACACCGGACCGGCGUAGAGAUACGUCUUCCCUUGUGGCCGGUGUACAGGUGGUGCAUAGUUGUCGUCAGCUCGUGUCGUGAGAUGUUGGGUUAAGUCCCGCAACGAGCGCAACCCUUGUCUUAUGUUGCCAGCACGUGAUGGUGGGGACUCAUGAGAGACUGCCGGGGUCAACUCGGAGGAAGGUGGGGAUGACGUCAAAUCAUCAUGCCCCUUAUGUCCAGGGCUUCACACAUGCUACAAUGGUCGGUACAGCAGGUCGCGAACUCGUGAGAGUAAGCCAAUCCUUCAAAGCCGGCCUCAGUUCGGAUUGGGGUCUGCAACUCGACCCCAUGAAGUCGGAGUCGCUAGUAAUCGCAGAUCAGCAACGCUGCGGUGAAUACGUUCCCGGGCCUUGUACACACCGCCCGUC